rnacentral:rRNA from 1 species
UACGUAGGGUGCGAGCAUUGUCCGGAAUUAUUGGGCGUAAAGAGCUCGUAGGCGGCUUGUCGCGUCGGAUGUGAAAGCCCGGGGCUUAACCCCGGGUCUGCAUUCGAUACGGGCAGGCUAGAGUUCGGUAGGGGAGAUCGGAAUUCCUGGUGUAGCGGUGAAAUGCGCAGAUAUCAGGAGGAACACCGGUGGCGAAGGCGGGUCUCUGGGCCGAUACUGACGCUGAGGAGCGAAAGCGUGGGGAGCGAACAGG